CCAUGACAAAUGUUGUUGAAUGAUAAUGGGAAUAAAUAUGGAACACAUGAAGAAAAAGGGGUGAAAAGGCAUGGGAAGCCAAUAAACCAGCUGAAAU